AUAUACUAAAAUAUUUUGGAGUGCAAUGCUAUACUCUCUAAAAACAUGAACAUCAUUUAUAAGAAGACACAAUUCUCUGUAGGGGCACUUGCCAUGGCUUUAUUUUAGAAUGAUUCUUUGUGCAAGUGGUAGGGAAAACAUUGAUGUUUAACAGAAAUUCACUCUUUUGCUUGAAGGUUGGAGACUACAUGAGACUUUGACAGAUGGCGGGAAACCCUUCUCAACUGGCAGAGAAAUGUCUGGGACUUAGCCGAGGGCAACUGGAGAAGGGUUGUUGAUGGCAAAACAGGUUGGAGACUACAUGAGACUUUGACAGAUGGCGGGAAACCCUUCUCAACUGGUACGAAGCCGGUAAAUAGAUGGCCAUAAAACAGUGACCGCUGAUUCGCGUCGAGUUCUUUCUUGCAUAACGCAGAGAAAUGUCUGGGACUUAGCCGAGGGCAACUGGAGAAGGGUUGUUGAUGGCAAAACAGGUUGGAGACUACAUGAGACUUUGACAGAUGGCGGGAAACCCUUCUCAACUGGUACGAAGCCGGUAAAUAGAUGGCCAUAAAACAGUGACCGCUGAUUCGCGUCGAGUUCUUUCUUGCAUAACGCAGAGAAAUGUCUGGGACUUAGCCGAGGGCAACUGGAGAAGGGUUGUUGAUGGCAAAACAGGUUGGAGACUACAUGAGACUUUGACAGAUGGCGGGAAACCCUUCUCAACUGGUACGAAGCCGGUAAAUAGAUGGCCAUAAAACAGUGACCGCUGAUUCGCGUCGAGUUCUUUCUUGCAUAACGCAGAGAAAUGUCUGGGACUUAGCCGAGGGCAACUGGAGAAGGGUUGUUGAUGGCAAAACAGGUUGGAGACUACAUGAGACUUUGACAGAUGGCGGGAAACCCUUCUCAACUGGUACGAAGCCGGUAAAUAGAUGGCCAUAAAACAGUGACCGCUGAUUCGCGUCGAGUUCUUUCUUGCAUAACGCAGAGAAAUGUCUGGGACUUAGCCGAGGGCAACUGGAGAAGGGUUGUUGAUGGCAAAACAGGCAGAGAAAUGUCUGGGACUUAGCCGAGGGCACUGGAGAAGGGUUGUUGAUGGCAAAACAGGUUGGAGACUACAUGAGACUUUGACAGAUGGCGGGAAACCCUUCUCAACUGGUACGAAGCCGGUAAAUAGAUGGCCAUAAAACAGUGACCGCUGAUUCGCGUCGAGUUCUUUCUUGCAUAACGCAGAGAAAUGUCUGGGACUUAGCCGAGGGCAACUGGAGAAGGGUUGUUGAUGGCAAAACAGGUUGGAGACUACAUGAGACUUUGACAGAUGGCGGGAAACCCUUCUCAACUGGUACGAAGCCGGUAAAUAGAUGGCCAUAAAACAGUGACCGCUGAUUCGCGUCGAGUUCUUUCU